AUUGAACGCUGGCGGCAGGCCUAACACAUGCAAGUCGAGCGGAUGAAGGGAACUUGCUCCUGGAUUCAGCGGCGGACGGGUGAGUAAUGCCUAGGAAUCUGCCUGGUAGUGGGGGAUAACGUCCGGAAACGGGCGCUAAUACCGCAUACGUCCUGAGGGAGAAAGUGGGGGAUCUUCGGACCUCACGCUAUCAGAUGAGCCUAGGUCGGAUUAGCUAGUUGGUGGGGUAAAGGCCUACCAAGGCGACGAUCCGUAACUGGUCUGAGAGGAUGAUCAGUCACACUGGAACUGAGACACGGUCCAGACUCCUACGGGAGGCAGCAGUGGGGAACAUUGGACAAUGGGCGAAAGCCUGAUCCAGCCAUGCCGCGUGUGUGAAGAAGGUCUUCGGAUUGUAAAGCACUUUAAGUUGGGAGGAAGGGCAGUAAGUUAAUACCUUGCUGUUUUGACGUUACCAACAGAAUAAGCACCGGCUAACUUCGUG
rnacentral:rRNA from 1 species